UUUACCUAAGCGUACACUUUUUUAUCCAAACAUUGCCUUUCAAUCUCUCUUUCUCCAUGCUUUAAACUGCUUCUUUCCUACACUACUUGCUUGGACGAUGGUUCUACAAAAUCUUACAAACUAAAAGAAAUGAGAGUUAUAAUAUAAUCAAAAACUCAUCUGCAAAUUGAAUUUUGAAAUGCCCACUGCAGACAAGAAAAAGAAAAGAAAAGAAAAAAAAAAAAAACAGUUUUCACAACCACGGUUUUGAACAACAAGGAAAAAGAAAACCCAUAAGCAGCAACAACAGUUGCCUCCAACUGGUGGCGUGGAGAAUAUUUUCUAAUGGUUAGCUUGAGAGGGAGGUUCAUACAGUACAACAUAUUCAAAGUCCGACAAAGAAUGAGCCUCCUAACAUGCCAAUCGGCAAAGGCGAUGGUUGCAGUAAUGUUUCUAUGGUUCUCGGUGUGAAAUUUUUUCUUGGACAUAUGUUUUUUUAUUAAGGGUAAAAUUGUAAUUUUAAAAUAUCUGUCUUUUCUCCCUCUCACUUUUUAUCUCAUUUAGCGGACAAAUAAUUGAUUUGGACAGACAAUUUAAUUAGAUAGAAUCAAAUUUCGGAGAUUAAAUACCUCAUAUGUAAAAAUAUAAUAACGAGAUAAUUAAUUUUGUAAAGUCUUAGGGAUGAAAUAAUUAUCCUCUUUUUUUCUCAA